UCUCCUCUCCUUCGGCCGUUUUCCUCCUCUUGCAAAGUGAAGGUAUUGAUUUUCUAGCUCAAGGAAUUUUCUGGCCGCCCCUCUUUCUUCCUACUACACACAGAGCCCGACACCCUUAGCUACUGCGGGGUGUCUCGGCCUCAGCCCCACCUGCCUCAUUCUGGGCCUCCCGCUCCGCUCUGAUGGCGUUUUCCAGUGUAGAACCGAGAAUGCUCGUGACAGUACAGAGGGAACCUGGAGAAUCUCAGAGGCAUCUGGACUUCCUACACCUGGACAAAGGCCAGUGCCGCGACUGAUCCAUUGCUGACCACACAGGACGAGAUAGAUCUGACUACGGACUCCUGUCCUCAGCCCCCCAUCAUCUCCUCUCACCCCAUGACCGGAACCGCGUCACCUCUGCACCACGUCUGUUUCCAGCUUGUUCCUUGCUGGCUAAGCCUGUGUAGGUUCCCAGAGCCUGGAGGCUCCCUCCUGCCUGCCUAUGGUACCUGAGAUAGCUCACCACCAAUGGUGUCCACCUGGAUGAUACAAAAUAUGAUUCCAGUCAGCCCUCUAGAUUUACAGUCGCAGAUUCAACCUUCAAUGAGGAGAAAACAUUAAAACUCUCUCUCUGUC